UUCGAAUAAUCAGUUUUUUUCGAAACUGGAGGAAGACAAAAGAAGAAGAAGGGAGGAACUAGUUCGAAUCGAGUCGUUGCAAUUUUUUUUUUUUCAAAACUUCCUCCUUGAAGAGAAGAGCGAAGCACCCUCCUCGGCUCGCCCCGAAUCCCCAGACCUUAUUUUGUACGUGGAUAACGAACGAUAUGAGGAGACGACUUACGCCCCGAAAAGAAGAAGUCUCUGUGCCCCAUAAUAAACCAUUUCGAACGAAUCGAAACGGGCCGGUAACGGUUUUACCUGCGCGCCAGUUUUCCACCACUGGGCCUGACCUACCCUCCUCGUCGAUCACCUCGUCGAUAUUUGGGCCACCGCUUCUUUUUUUCCACGCGAUAUCGUUCAACGACUUUCCUACCUGCCUAUCCUAUCCUUCUAUCCUCUUCUGUCUUCCCUUUCUUUUUUUUUCUUCUUCUUCUUCUUCUUUUCUUCUCCCUCUAACUUCGAACGGGGACGAGAAAAACUCGAUCCAGAUAUAACGGGUGUACGAAGAGUUAAUCUUGUAUCGAGUAUUCGCGAUAAAUAUUACGAGAAUUGUAUUGGGUCGCUAGGAACGAAAGUAAUUUCGUUUUAGCGACACGAGUGUCGCUAGUCGAACGUUUUGUCAGCCAACUUCAUUCCAGAAUAGAAAUUAUUGCGUUGCUCGGAAAGUAUUAAUUUUUCUCACGCGAGCGUCGCUGCUAGUCGAACAGCCAACUUCGUUCUAAACCGUUGUUGUAACGUAUUUCGAGAACGUUCGCGUUUCGUCGGUUUAUUUAUAAGAAGAAUUCGUUCGAUUUCGUGCGCGAUUGUGUUUUUCGCGUGUGAUUGCAAAGAUGAGCAAGAUCGAAAAGAGCAUUCUCGGUGUAUUUUACUUUUCUACUAUCGAAAAGAAAAAGAGAAAAACGGAGAGGAGCCGUGACCGUGCCGCGAGGCCGCUGUUACUCGGAUGAUUCGACGAGUUUGUUGGCAACGUUGAACUUGAAUUUUCGUCCAAGUUAAAUAGCGAUGAUCCUGCUGACGUUACGUUGAAUUUCGUUUUAAUAAUAUAAGAGAAAGUUUGUUUAAUUAAAUCUUAAUCUGUAUGAGAUGUAAAAGUGAAAGUAUAUGUGUGCGCGUGUGUGUACGUUAUUA